GAAAAUCCCUGAGUCAUGUGGCUAUGACGUCUGCCACUGAUUCAGCUGAUCUGACUCACUAGGGAAGUGUACCCUUCCUCCCUCACCACUUCACAUGUGUCUCUUCUGAAGCUCACACACAAAGAAAAUGGUCUUCCACAAUUAAGAAGGACCAUUCAAGGGUGUCCUUGCCUCAGACCUCAAACAACAAACUCCCCAGGUGCACUUGUAGGAGAAAGUAGGGAAUUCACGCCUCCAAUAGUGUAGACACAUCCACAUUGGAUGCUGUAGCUAGCAGCCUGCCUUUCU
ensembl:misc_RNA 7SK 7SK RNA